AUUGAACGCUGGCGGCGUGCUUAACACAUGCAAGUCGAGCGGUAACAGGCGUAGCAAUACGUGCUGACGAGCGGCGAACGGGUGCGUAAUACAUGGGAAUCUGCCCUUUAGUGGGGAAUAACCCGGCGAAAGCCGGGCUAAUGCCGCAUAAGAUCUUCGGAUGAAAGCGGGGGAUCGUAAGACCUCGCGCUGAUGGAUGAGCCCAUGUCGGAUUUGCUAGUUGGUGAGGUAACGGCUCACCAAGGCGACGAUCCGUAGCUGGUCUGAGAGGACGGCCAGCCACACUGGGACUGAGACACGGCCCAGACUCCUACGGGAGGCAGCAGUGGGGAAUAUUGGACAAUGGGGAAAACCCUGAUCCAGCGACGCCGCGUGUGUGAAGAAGGCCUGCGGGUUGUAAAGCACUUUCGGUGGGAACGAAAUAUGCCGGGCCAAUACCCCGGUAGGCUGACGUUACUCAAUGAAGAAGCACCGGCUAACUCUGUGCCAGCCGCCGCCGUAAUAC
rnacentral:rRNA from 1 species